UACGAAGGGGGGCUAGCGUUGCUCGGAAUCACUGGGCGUAAAGGGUGCGUAGGCGGGUUUUUUAAGUCAGAGGUGAAAUCCUGGAGCUCAACUCCAGAACUGCCUUUGAUACUGAGAAUCUUGAGUAUGGGAGAGGUGAGUGGAACUGCGAGUGUAGAGGUGAAAUUCGUAGAUAUUCGCAAGAACACCAGUGGCGAAGGCGGCUCACUGGCCCAUAACUGACGCUGAGGCACGAAAGCGUGGGGAGCAAACAGG
rnacentral:rRNA from 1 species